GGAAGGAUCAUUACUGAAUUGUCAAACGGGUUGUUGCUGGUCCUCAAAUGGGGACAUGUGCACGCUCUGUUUACACAUCCACUCACACCUGUGCACCCUCUGUAGUUCUGCGGUAUGGGGGACCCCGUCUUCCUUCUGUGGUUCUAUGUCUUUACACACACACUGUAAUAAAGUCUUAUGGAAUGUAUGCCGCGUCUAACGCAAUACAAUACAACUUUCAGCAACGGAUCUCUUGGCUCUCGCAUCGAUGAAGAACGCAGCGAAAUGCGAUAAGUAAUGUGAAUUGCAGAAUUCAGUGAAUCAUCGAAUCUUUGAACGCACCUUGCGCCCCUUGGCUAUUCCGAGGGGCAUGCCUGUUUGAGUAUCAUGAACACCUCAACUCUCAUGGUUUGCCAUGACGAGCUUGGACCUUGGGGGUUUUGCUGGCCUGUGGUCGGCUCCUCUCAAAUGAAUCAGCCUCCCAGUGUUUGGUGGCGUCACGAGUGUGAUAACUAUCUACGCUCGCGGUUGUCCACCAGGUAACCUUUGGUGACAAAGGUUCGCUGGAGCUCAUAGAUGUCUCUCCUCAGCGAGGACAGCUUUUUAACGUUCGAUCUCAAAUCAGG
rnacentral:sRNA from 1 species